rnacentral:rRNA from 1 species
UACGGGGGGAGCAAGCGUUGUUCGGAUUUACUGGGCGUAAAGGGCGCGUAGGCGGUCGUGACAAGUCACUUGUGAAAUCUCCGGGCUUAACUCGGAACGGUCAAGUGAUACUGUCGGACUAGAGUACAGAAGGGGCAACUGGAAUUCUCGGUGUAGCGGUGAAAUGCGUAGAUAUCGAGAGGAACACCUGCGGCGAAGGCGGGUUGCUGGGCUGAUACUGACGCUGAGGCGCGAAAGCCAGGGGGAGCGAACGGG